CUUUUACCACUUCUUGCCUAGGAUUGGCUCAAAACCCUAACCCAAGCUAUACAAGUCUCCAAUUUCACAUCUUCCUUCUACAUGUACAAUUCUGCCUAUAAAUGUUAAUUAAAAUAUCUAAGAUUUUUCGCAUGAACAAUCCUUUAGAUCUCAUAAUUUUCUGUUUUUAUAUGCUUUAGAUUUCUUAUCUCUGCGACCUUAAUUUGUGUUUGUAAUCAUUUUCUACUUUACUUGAAUUUGGAGAUUAGUGUAUUUUGAUGAAAAAAUUGAAUUUAUAUUUGGGUUAGCGCUUUGAUUUGAAGGUAUUAAUUUAUGAUGUUGAAGCGCACAUUGAAGGAGUUUAAGGAUCUGUAGAAGGAUCCUCUAGUUGAACCCAAAUUUGAAAAUGAAAGAAGUCUCCCACAUCAUGCGACACUGGUAUGUGAGCUCGACAUCCUAUUUUCCCUCCCACUUCUCAUUAUUUUAUGAGUCCCGAGCUUAUGUGCUAGUUUUGUUAGCUUAAGACCAAUAAUUAGGUCUGUGUGAUCGAACUUUUUAUGUUUUUUGCGGCUUUACGAGGCUCUAUUUUUUGCGGCUUUCCGAGUCUCUUUUUUUUGCGGCUUUGCGAGGUUCUUGCUGCUAAGUUUAGAACUUAUAGCAGAGAACUUGUCUGAUUUACUAAUUAUUUGUUUUUGUAUUAGCAGAAUUGGAUUAUUUGAAUGUUUGUUUCUAUAACAUUACCACCGUGUUUCAUAUUCUCUAGUUGUUGAAGCUUUUAUUGGUAAAAGGAAACCCCCAAUUUUUGAAUCCCUAAUUUGUUACUUGUUAAUCUCUUAUUUUUUAUUUUUCAAAAAAAAAAGGGGAAUCCUUUUGAUUUUCUGAAUUUGUCUUGAUUGUUAACUCGCCAAAAAUAAAAUAUGGUAUGUAGAGUCGUAUUUUUCACUAUAAAUAUUACACCCCUUAUCAUAUAAUUUUUCAAAAAAAAAAGGGACUCACUUUGAAGUUCCAUAAUUUUUCAUAUUCAUUGCUUGAGAAAUGCUACUAGCCAAGAUCCAUUAUUGUAAAACUGCUUCUAAUCUACUGGUUAGUGCUCGACUGAAGUAUUUUAAAUUUAAAUGUGAUAGUUCUUGUUGGGAUCACUCUUAACGCCUUAAAUAUUUGGUAGAAAUGAUCCAAGUAUGUUUCUAGACCUUAUGUGUGCCUAGCUUUGGUUUAGUGGGUGGGAUAUGAGAGAACUGAUCACUAUUAAGCUGAUAUGGAUUAUAAUAUUGUUUAGGGUCUAUGGGAAAUAGUCUCGACCUUUGAGGUAGAAGUAAGGUUUGCGUAUACUUACUUUAUUCGUUGCCGAGCUCUAUCCUACCUGAACUCCUUAAAAGACGAAUGCAGAUCGAAUUGCUUGUUGAACUUCAAUACUUUCCUAUUUUAUAAUUUUCUACUUUGCUGGAUGAUGGGUAUGCAACAAAACUGUUAGAAGAUUGAUACUUCUUAGUCUAUACUUAUAAACAUUUGGCAAUAUCAUUACAUACCCUCCCACAAAAAAUAACAUAGUUCAUUUACCACAAUAGGCCUUAGUACCAAAUGAUUGGUGUCGACUAUGAAAUAGUUUGUCCAAAAGGGUCAACAAUGUAGGUUCAAGAUGAACUCCAAAGUCCAGAUACUUUUACCGAAGAAGUGGCCAAGCUCAUUUCUCAUGUUUACUCUACAUCUGAAAAAAAACUGAUGUAUUAACAUCUCCUCUAGGAAUUUAUUGCAGUUUCAUUAUUCCAAGAAAUAUUGAUAUCAUUGGAAAUUUCUUUUGUGUUGUGUUUUAAAAACUUGUGAUGAAACCUAUCUAAAAUAUGAGCAUGAACUUUUUUGGACAAAUAUGUGGUUCAUGAAGUGAUUCUCUAUGGGAAACAACAUCUUUACCUCUCGAGGUAGUGGUAAAGUUUGCAUAAACAUUACCUUUUCUAGACCCCACUUGUGGAAUAUCACUGGGUAUGUUGUUUGUUAUUGAAUUGAGUUUUCUUUAAGUUCUCAUGUUUGUGGUCUUGGGUUUUAGUUAUUUAGUUGCUCCACUUUUAUCCUGUUGGGCAAUACACUUGACAUUUUUUAAGAUUUGAGCUUAGUGUACUAGGACUAAAUUAUGUUGCACAACUUUCAUUGAUCAUAUUGUCUCUUUGUAUUCUUAAAAUACAUUUGCAAUCUUACUCCAAGGUUACCUCUUUUAUUUUAAUAUGAGAUUAUGAAAAUUGUCAAAGAAAUCAUAUGUUUUAACUUUUAAUUGCAGGGAUAGGAUUCUAAAACAUAAAUGGUGUCAAUGAAGGACGAGUUCGAAGGCCUAUAAUGUUCUUUUUUCUUAUCACAUAUGUACACUGACAUUAAACAAUAUACAAUAUUUUUUGUAAUGGAAGUAUUUGCAUUAUUCAACUUGUGAAUUUUUUAUGUUCACUAAUUAAUAUUGGAUGCUUUAUUGGUAGGC
rnacentral:lncRNA from 1 species